UAGGGAAUCUUCGGCAAUGGGGGCAACCCUGACCGAGCAACGCCGCGUGAGUGAAGAAGGUUUUCGGAUCGUAAAGCUCUGUUGUAAGAGAAGAACGUGUGUGAGAGUGGAAAGUUCACACAGUGACGGUAACUUACCAGAAAGGGACGGCUAACUACGUGCCAGCAGCCGCGGUAAUCCGUAGGUCCCGAGCGUUGUCCGGAUUUAUUGGGCGUAAAGCGAGCGCAGGUGGUUUAAUAAGUCUGAAGUUAAAGGCAGUGGCUUAACCAUUGUUCGCUUUGGAAACUGUUAAACUUGAGUGCAGAAGGAGGGAGUGGUAUUCCAUGUGUAGCGGUGAAAUGCGUAGAUAUAUGGAGGAACUCCGGUGGCGAAAGCGGCUCUCUGGUCUGUAACUGACGCUGAGGCUCGAAAGCGUGGGGAGCAAACAGG
rnacentral:rRNA from 1 species